AGGUACCGGAUGGGCUCUCCGCGUCGUUACUGUUCAAUGCCUGCAGUGAGUGCCAGUUGAUUAACCAAUUAUUGCAGCUAAAACAAAGCAUAGCGCUAAACAAGUAUGUAUAUGGAUAAAGUGUGGAUGGAAGAUUGCGCUUACGAUUACGCAUUGACUGUCGGUGUCAUUCGUCAACACCAGGUGCAAUACAACACUCAGUCUCAGAGGAGCGCUGUUUACCAAAAACCUAUAAAAGAAAACAUCAAAAUCGGUUAUAGAGGAUAGCAGAAGACCUCUGAAUGUACCUUCAUAUGUAUGCAGGUAUAUACAUACAUAUGUAUGUAAACCAGUGUGUGGAAAGCCGAAAAACAUCUGUCGUUGUUGUAUCGGCAGCAUCGUUUCAAUGGUAGCACAUUGCCUUUACGCAUUUUGCAGCUCUGCAGCGGUGUCGAAUUAUGGAACGCCAGUAAAAAUACCGCUGGCAGAAUACGACAUAUGCUAUGAUGUUGUGCAUCUCAGAAAGUAGAGCGACAUUAAAAAUCCAAAUGCAACAACCACCACUCAAGGAAAAUACUUUUGCCACUUGCAGCUGCCGUCACCACAUGCAACAUGAUCAUCACCUGUAAUUACAGCCCGUGGAAUUAAAGUUUUGUGAAGUAUAUUACUCUUCAGUUACCACUGUACAUAUACGCAUGAAUGUAUAUUAAUUUUUUGACCUUUUUAAUUAAAUGAGAACUCCAAAUUGCUUGUUGGUGGGCACGAAUCAA